rnacentral:tRNA from 3 species
UCCUCCGUGGCGCAAUUGGCUAGCGCGUUCGACUGUUAUUAACAGAUUAUCGAGAGGUUGACAGUUCAAGCCUGUCCGGGGGAG